GUUGGCUAGUAACUUCUGAUCAGAACAAGCUGUACUUCUGCUGUGCUAAGCAUAGAGUUCUAAGAACUGGCAGAACUCAAGUCAAUGGUCUAGCAUACCAUCCAUAUUCACGUGUCCUCAUCAAGGAAGAGAUCAACCUUUGGUGACAGUUAUCAAUAUUCAGCAUUUUGAUAGGCUGUUCUUUUCUACCCCCACUUUCUGCCACAUUAUCUGUGGUGUUAAGAGUGAAAAGGAUCAAACACACAGCCUCCUCUCGUCUAGGAGAAAAGAAAAAAGAGUGGAAAUGGUGCUUGGAUCUGCGGUCUAGAGAGUUGAUGGACAGGUAAAAGAGGACUUGGAAGUAAGAAGAACAGAAUAUAUUAAGUAUCAAGAGACUGCAGGGGAGAGUGUGAAGGACAAAUACUGAAAACGAACUGCUCCUGUGCUGAUACUUUUUGACUGUAACAGAGAUAAA